AAGGAAUAAAAGGGGCUUCACCUGUUUUUUGUGACUGUGUUUAUUUUGUAUCACACCAUGGGUCAUCACAAUAUGUUUUACAUAUGGUUUGGAG